rnacentral:sRNA from 1 species
CACUACUGGAAAAAUAAUUAUUUCCGACGGCAAAUUACCGAAGGACUUUGUGGCCUUCGGUAAAUGUAGUUUACCGAAGGAUUUUCCGAAGGCUUGUGUAGUAUCACUUUACCGAAGGGUAUUGGCCGUCUGUAAUGGACCGGAGUGAUUACCGAAGGCCUAUGACCGUCGGUAAGUGAAUGAUGUAUAUGAAAUUAGAAAGUGACACAUUUCCCUCCCCUCAUUUCGCGAAAACCCCUUCUUCCCCAAUAUUGAGAUUCUGUGCCGUUCCUCCCUCAGACGAACUGACUGUGUGGCGUGUGCAGACUUCUUCCCACCCUAACCAUAACUGGGAUACGAUUCUUCCCUAGUCUUCCAUUAUAGUGUUCUGAGCUGAGGAAGGUGGUGGGUGGUUCAGUUGAAGGCUACCAUUCUCGAGGGAGGAUAUUGGAGGAGGCGGCGUAGAGGAGGCGGCGCAACCAGGGGAGUGUCACUCUGUGACAAGGUCUUCCACUACCGCUUCAGAGGCUAUUGAAGGGGCUACCGUCGAGGUAAGUUGUCAUUUUCAUUGAUGAACUAUAAAAGCUAAGAAGAAUGUGUUCUGACUUUGUUCAAUGUAUGCCCAGAAUGAGUUUGUGCAAUAUGAUUUUUUACAGAAAAUAUUGUUCAAAG